rnacentral:lncRNA from 1 species
AUCUCAUGAAAAGUCCCUGCAGUCGCUUUGUGGGAGGCUGAGGACCAGGAAGUUAGGAACACCCUCCGAGUCCGUGAUAAUGAAUGGCCCUUGGACAGAGAGGUGAGUCUUCCGGGCGCCUCUGCAGCUCGGGGCCAAUAAACCUUUUUGUUUUGUUUGGAUUGGUCUUAGUUUCUUAUAUUUAAAUAAAACCGAAGGAUCAAGAUGAGGGCAGGCAAUAGAGCAAAUAAAGACUAACACCCCACACGUCAGUGAGGGUCCUCAGCCAAACUUUCCGUGGCUUGGUUAAUAAAUAAGCCAGUGAUGAAGCUGUUCUAGCACAUUCUAAUCUGUAGCUCGGAGGGAUCCUCCUCAAUACAAAGGGACAUAGACACUAGAUUAGUAGCUUCGGUCCCUAUCCACUUACUUCCCUGUGUCUGCAGCAUGUGGUAGGUGACAAGACCACCUCCAACCCCAAAGUCACUUCUGGGACACCUCCGGGACCAGAAAGGAUCCAGAGGCCAAGAGAAGCUUCUAGGGUCCUGCUGAACAAAACUGGCCCAUGAGGGCAGGGCGUACACCCGGCAGUAUGCCAACUACUUUCCAUAUAUCUUUUCAGUGAAUCCUCAUAACCAUGGAACUCUUCUUAGUAGGAAAGCUCAGAGAGGUUAAGCGGCAUGUUCAAGAAACUGGCAGAAAUAAUCUUAAACUGCACAACCUAAUAUGGGAGAGUAUCAUAUAAUACUGCUUUUACCAUUUUACAACAAAUUACAAGUGAUGGAGUAUUUCCAAAGAGUAGGAAAUUAGUGAGCAGUGGAGUUGUUUGGGAAGGUGUGGAAAAGGGGAAGGAUUUGGAGGGCCCCGGGGUAAGGGGAAGAAGCAGGAUCCCGUGUGCUGGGGAAGGAGCCCUACAUGUGCAAGAAGCAUGUCUCUUCCCAAGUAGUUCUCCUCAAUCAACCCCUGCUGACAUUCUGUUCUCACCGCAGACCUUGGGAGCUGGACUGUCUGGAUCAGAAUCCUGGCUCUCCCACAUGCUAACAAUGUGACCCUGGGAAAGUCACUUAACCCCUAAGUCUCUUAGUUUCCUCACGUAUACAGUGGUGAUGCCUACAGUACCCCCCAAGAGGAUUAAGGGAAUGCACGUUUGUGUGGAUUCAUGUUUAAGUGAAUUCACUGUGUUUCUGAUUAGCCAGGGAGUCCUUUGCAUAUGUUAGUACUACAGACUGUAGUGACAAUGAAACAAACGGAUACAAUAAGACGUAGGUGCUCCCUACAGCAAGGGUCCUACAGCUGUUUCAGGAGGGCACAGGAGGGAUGCAUAACCCAGAAAGGAGGGCUCCCCAAAAGGUGUCAUACUUUAAGCAGAGACUGAAAGAGUCAGAUAAACACAGGGAGGGGAUGUGAGGACAGGGAGAAGAGUGUUCCAGAAUGAAGGAACAGCAUAGGCAAAGGCGUGUAGGCAGUCCAUGUUUUCUUUUGCAAGUUUGCUUCAUUUAAAGAAAUAAACCAGAAGUCAGUUGCCAAAUGACGGUUAUUACACAAUUUGUACUGUGCCUUUACCAUUAAUGUACAAACAGCAAACAAUUCAGAUUCAGAUGACAAAGAGCAAGUCAGAACUGAAUUUUUCUUUGAAGCUGAUACCGACGAAGUCAGUACGGCUCAUGAGGUUCUCUUUAUUUUCAAUAGGAAACAGACAUUUAUGGACCUCACAAUUUUGGGUUAAUUGGAUCAUUUCUUAGCAGAUUUCUGAUCUGUAAGAGAAGACAUAGCAGAGUCUUGGUUUUUACUUCCCACCUUUGUCACCAGCACAGCAUCUUGCAUGUGGUAGUUAGGUAACAAAUGCCUUUUUUUCUUUUACACUCAAAUGCACUUAAAUUUUCAUUUGUAUCCUAAGUGUAUUUUUUUUAACAAAUGGUUUUUAGACAGUGAAUGUUACAAUGAAUUUUACCAAUGCCCAAUGCUUCUCUUCCUUGCAAAUCACACAAGUCAAGUUUGGGCCUGCCUCUGAUCUCUUAGAGCAGCAGGCUAAUCUCCAAGAUGACCUCACUGCAGAGCUGUAUUUUAUUAUCAGCUAACAAAUCUCAGCAUGAACCGAGAGCGAAGGUUAGAAAGACAAUAAAAAUACAAACAAGCCAUGAUUGUACAAGUCAAGUCAGUUUGGAGAACCAGCUGGACCUAUGAUUAGAUUUUAAUUUUAAGAAAACUGUGGCAGAAGAAAUCUUCCCAGCAAAUAAGAAUCCUUCUCAGAAGGCCAGCAAAGCCUUUUGAUCUUUUUUUAAAAGAUUUUUAAAAUAAUUAAUUAAUUAAUUGAGAGAGUGUGUGCAGGGGGAGGGGUGGAAGGAGAGAGAAUCUCAGACAUUGAGCUGAGCAAGGAGCCCUUCUUGGGAUUCAAUCUCAUGACCCUGAGAUAAUGACCUGAGCUGAAAUCCAAAGUAAGAUGCUUAACUAACUGAGCUACCCAGGCACCCCUUAUUUUUUUAAGACUUAUUUAUCUAUUUGAGGGGUGGAAGGGCAGAGGGAGGAGGAAAGAGAAUCCUGAGGCAGACUCCACCAUUGAGCACAGAGCCUGGCAUGGGGCUUGAUCCCAGGACCCUGAGAUCAUGAGCUGAGCUGAAAUCAAGAGCCAGGCGCCUCCAGCAAAGCCUUUUUCUUAAUAACAAGUAAGGAUUUGUAAUUCCUGAAAUAAUAAACAAAGGAAACGGAUUUUAAAAUUCAUCUAAGCCAUGGAUUUUCAAACAGGUUUUGCCUAAGGGGAACCUUUGUUCAAACUAGAUAUUACCAAGAUGGGUAAACAAACAAAACACACCAAGACAGAGCUGCUCUGGUGAAAGGCAGGAUCCAGGCCCCAGUUCUCGCUGCCACCCCCUACCCCUGAGCACUUCUAAAACUACUCGUUGUAGUCUAACCCACUGCCCCUGUCAUUUUACAGAAAAAAAGCCUGAGGCUAAGAAGAAAACAUUUGACUUGUCCUAGGUCACACAGCUAGUUGCUAGCAGAGCCAAGAUAAGUUCCUUAGGUCUACUGCUCCAAAUUCAGUGGCCCUUCCAUGACACCACGCAGACAGGGGGGGAAAUAUGCUUACUCACAUGGAGAGGGGACUGAUGGGAAGUAGAGCAGGAGAAGAAGAACUGCCCUGCCAAAUGCAGAGAGGGACAGGCAAAGGCAUGCAGUGGCUACUAGCUAUUUGGGGGCCCCAAGAUGCACACUUAAAUGAGAAGGUAGCAAAGUCCAUCUUUCUGCUGGACAUCAAAGCCGGGGAUGACUUAGUUGCCAUGUUCAGCUCAACAGACAUUAGCCAAGCAUCUAUUAGGGCAGUGUGCUGGAUAGGGCAGUACAAAAGUAAGCCAGCCACCAUCCCAGUGCUCCAGGUCUAGUACAGAAAACAGACUGGAAACCCCAAUUAGAGUGUGAGACUGCAGUCGCAGACCUGCAGGAUAGCUACACAGGUAGAGGAAGGGAUGAACAGAGGAGUUCACUGGGAGAAGCAAAGAUGGCCUAGAAGGAAAGACACCCAUGCAGUGUUUCCAAGGGUGAGUUUGUCACCAGGCAGGCAGGAGAGGACGGGCGUCUCAUUCAGAGAGUACAGAAACAGGUUUUAAACCGAGACAAAAGAUACCCAUUUGCAGUUUAGAAAGAUCACCAAGGUGGCAUUUGUGGAAAUCCACAGCACAGGGGCAGCCCCGGUGGCCCAGCGGUUCAGCACCGCCUUCGGCCCAGGGCGUGAUCCUGGAGACCUUGGAUCGAGUCCCACAUCGGGCUCCCUGCACGGAACCUGCUUCUCCCUCUGCCUGUGUCUCUGCCUCUUAUUUAUUCAUGACAGAAUAAAUAAAAUAUUAAAAAAAAAUAAAGAAAUCCACAGCACAAAGAGGCUUCUGCACGGGUUGAACAGAGGGGACCAAAAGCAGGAAUGGAAAAUUGGUGGUUUUCACAAAGAAAAUCAGCAUGGGUGCGGGGGAGCCAUAAAGGAGGCCUGGAGGGCUCCCCUGGCUCCCAUGGUCCCUGGAGAAACUUGUAGAAGGUGGUACACCAAGUGAGAUACAGAAUAGUUUAGGAGGGAAAACAGGGAGCCAGGUUUAGCUGCCAAGAGCUGGAGGUGCCAUUGGGCUCUCCAAGUGAAGGUGUCCAGCAAGGAGGUGGACCAUCGUCAGAUGGUGCACACAGCACAGGGCUCUAACUUCUAAAGGAUGGACCACUUGCCUGUUUCCUCUGUGUGUACAGAACUUGUUUUAGCCCCCUCUCCAAGAGCUUUCAAUAACUAGAAUUUACUGAAAUUGUGUGUUAGAUGUUUUCUUUUUCCCUAAGCUAUCUAGCAGAAUCCAAACCCUAUCAACUUCUACCACAAGUUAGCUGGAGAAUGCAGCCACACCCCAGAGAAACUGCUUCUUCUGUUAUAUCUGAAUUAGCAAGCACAUUUAUUUGAAGCAAUAAUAAAGACACAGUAAAAAAAAUAAAAAUAAAAAUAAAAAUAAAUUUUAAAAAAUAAUAAUAAAGACACAGGACACUGAAAAGUGUAGAGCAUCUGUCCAAUUUUGUUUUGUCCCAUUCUUUUAUGGAAUAAAAUUAUCACCUUCUUGUCGUGAGCAAGAAAAGUAAGAUAUAAUGAAAGUAAAUAUACAGUUGCCUAAAUCCUGCAAUUACUCUGAAUAGAACUGAGUAACACCAUUAGUCAUCCGAUCCUGUCUUCGCCAAGUAGCCUACUGCAUUCAGAUGGUCUGAAACUCCAGAGGAUGGGAGAUAUUGGGAUAGAGCAUCUCAGCUCCAGGAGCUAAUAACUGAUUGGCAAAUACAAAAAUGAGAAUUUAAAGACAUAUGUGACAAAGGAUAAUAGAAAUUAAAUGUCAUAAAAGUUCAGAGGUAGGAAAUAGGAAGUUUGGGGGGGUGGUUGAGACCUUAUUUUUUUAAAUAUUUUAUUUAUUUAUUCAUGAGAGACACAGAGAGAGAGAUGCAGAGACACAGGCAGAGAGAGAAGCAGGCUCCAUGUAGGGAGCCUGACAUGGGACUUGACCCUGGGACUCCAGGACCACGUGCUGUGGGCUGAAGGCAGGUGCUCAACCGCUGAGCCACCCAGGGAUCCCGAGAUCUUAUUUUUAAGUAAUCUUUACACCCAAUGUGGGGGUUACAACCCCGAAAUCAAGAGUCACGUGCUCCAUGGACUCAGCCAGCCAGGCACUCCCAGAAAUAGAAAGUGUAGCCAGAGUAUGAGGAAACAUACCAUGGAGAAGAGGUGCCAUGGAAGCUUAGUGUGAAAGGAGGAGGUGGGUUCAAGUGCCCAAUCAAGGGGAAGGCAGCUAGGGAGGAGGAGGACUGGGUGUUGCAGGAAGGAGCAGAGGGUUCCCAUGUGGGAGUGACCUGGGACAGGACUGGAGGGCCUCUGAGGGCUUUCAGUCUUGUUGGACUUUAAUACGGUGGUCAUGGCAAUCCCAGAAGGGGCUCUGAGCAGAAAAGGGCACGGAGCAUUGGAGGGGGCUGCUAACCAGUCCUACCCACAGGGAAGAAAAGAGUGGGAGCAUGGGCAGAGUGGUGCAGAACAGAGGCCAGGGGGUGUGGAGAAGGGCGUGGGAGACGGCUGGAGAAGCCAGCUGUAUGCACUUCUCAAUUCCCAACCCUGCCCUCACUCUAAGAAGUGAGCACUGUCCUGAAUUUUGUGACUACUGCUUCUUUCCUUUAUUUUCUACUUUUAAUACCUGUGUAUGCAUCCUCAAAUGGUAUGGCAUAGUUUUAUCAAUAUAAAUGAACUCAUACUAGAAGAUUAAAAUAAAUGAAGUAAAAUAAAAUAACAUGAUUGUGUGCCACUGGGUGGAAGACAGAUAAAUAGAAUUGAACGCCUAGAAACAAACCCAAAUAUGUAUAUGAAUUAGAUUAUAUCUAUUUCAUGUCCUGUAUCCAAAAAAAAA